rnacentral:rRNA from 1 species
GUUGUUCGGAAUUACUGGGCGUAAAGGGCGCGUAGGCGGCCUUCUAAGUCAGACGUGAAAUCCCCCGGCUUAACCUGGGAACUGCGUCUGAUACUGGAGGGCUUGAGUGCGGGAGAGGGAUGUGGAAUUCCAGGUGUAGCGGUGAAAUGCGUAGAUAUCUGGAGGAACACCGGUGGCGAAGGCGGCAUCCUGGACCGACACUGACGCUGAGGCGCGAAAGCUAGGGUAGCAAACGGG